GCCAUGAUGCUGGAAUUGGUAGACAGGUACGGUUCAGGUCCGUAUGCAAGCAAUUGUGUGAGAGUUCGAGUCUCUCUCGUGGCA
rnacentral:tRNA from 1 species